AAGUGCUGUGUACACUUGUAAUUGACAUGCAUAUUAAAUAUUGUUUUAUAAGUUCUUUUGUAAAUGCCUAAUGUAUAUUGUAAGUGUACUUUUACAAACAAAAAAAUAAUUGAUUUGUCGCCGACUAAUUUGUUAUGACGCUUCUUAUACGUAGAACUGUUCUUCUUGGUGGUGGGGCUUUGGGCGAACUUAUUUCUAAAUGUAAGUACGUAUCCUACCAUCGGUUACUUUAACGGCAGACAUCAAUACCAUAAACUGUGAUGUUCCUGUUAUGGGGUAGAUAAGCCAAUGCUGGUGGUAGAGCUUUGUGCAAACUCGUCUAGGCUACUAGUUACCUCGAGCAGGUGGUGCAGCGUGCGCGCCCAGCGGAUGUAGGGCGGCGAGGCGGGCGAGCGCGCCGAGCUGCCCGACGAGCCCUCCGUCUCCUCGCGCCACGACGCCAUACCCGCCCUGCGCGCGCACACACACAGGCUGAACUUCAGCCAAACAUUGAAAUUAUAUUUAUUCAAGCGACUUCAGCUAACAUUGGAUAUUGGGUGAUAACUUAAAUAAUAUUGUGUAUUUUUCUUUCGAACAUCAAAUCAAUGACGACGUAAAGAAAGAAACCAGUAUUUAAUUAAACAUCCGUUGAACAACAGUUUAUAUGUAUGGCCGUCAGUAAAUAACAAUAGGAAGCGUACUUAGAGAGAUG